GGGCGGGGGCUAUACUGCAAGUCGAACGCUUCUUUUUCNACCUGGAGCUUGCUCCACCGGAAAAAGAGGAGUGGCGAACGGGUGAGUAACACGUGGGUAACCUGCCCAUCAGAAGGGGAUAACACUUGGAAACAGGUGCUAAUACCGUAUAAUAAUUAAAACCGCAUGGUUUUAAUUUGAAAGGCGCUUUACGGUGCCACUGAUGGAUGGACCCGCGGUGCAUUAGCUAGUUGGUGAGGUAACGGCUCACCAAGGCGACGAUGCAUAGCCGACCUGAGAGGGUGAUCGGCCACAUUGGGACUGAGACACGGCCCAAACUCCUACGGGAGGCAGCAGUAGGGAAUCUUCGGCAAUGGACGAAAGUCUGACCGAGCAACGCCGCGUGAGUGAAGAAGGUUUUCGGAUCGUAAAACUCUGUUGUUAGAGAAGAACAAGGAUGAGAGUGACUGUUCAUCCCUUGACGGUAUCUAACCAGAAAGCCACGGCUAACUACGUGCCAGCAGCCGCGGUAAUACGUAGGUGGCAAGCGUUGUCCGGAUUUAUUGGGCGUAAAGCGAGCGCAGGCGGUUUCUUAAGUCUGAUGUGAAAGCCCCCGGCUCAACCGGGGAGGGUCAUUGGAAACUGGGAGACUUGAGUGCAGAAGAGGAGAGUGGAAUUCCAUGUGUAGCGGUGAAAUGCGUAGAUAUAUGGAGGAACACCAGUGGCGAAGGCGGCUCUCUGGUCUGUAACUGACGCUGAGGCUCGAAAGCGUGGGGAGCAAACAGGAUAGAACCCCCCCGGGNAAAA
rnacentral:rRNA from 1 species